rnacentral:snRNA from 1 species
AUGCUUGCUUUGGCAGCACAUAUAUUAAAAUUGGAACAAUACAGAAAAGAUUAGCAUGGCCCCUGCGUAAGGAUGACAUGCAAAUUCGUGAAGUGUUCCAUAUUUUA